rnacentral:rRNA from 1 species
GACGAACGCUGGCGGCGUGCCUAAUACAUGCAAGUUGAGCGCUGAAGGUUGGUACUUGUACCAACUGGAUGAGCAGCGGACGGGUGAGUAAAGCGUGGGGAAUCUGCCUUUGAGCGGGGGACAACAUUUGGAAACGAAUGCUAAUACCGCAUAAAAACUUUAAACACAAGUUUUAAGUUUGAAAGAUGCAAUUGCAUCACUCAAAGAUGAUCCCGCGUUGUAUUAGCUAGUUGGUGAGGUAAAGGCUCACCAAGGCGAUGAUACAUAGCCGACCUGAGAGGGUGAUCGGCCACAUUGGGACUGAGACACGGCCCAAACUCCUACGGGAGGCAGCAGUAGGGAAUCUUCGGCAAUGGACGAAAGUCUGACCGAGCAACGCCGCGUGAGUGAAGAAGGUUUUCGGAUCGUAAAACUCUGUUGGUAGAGAAGAACGUUGGUGAGGGUGGAAAGCUCAUCAAGUGACGGUAACUACCCAGAAAGGGACGGCUAACUACGUG